rnacentral:rRNA from 1 species
CUACCUUAAUCAGGGGGAUAGCCCGGAGAAAUCCGGAUUAACACCGCAUAAAAACACAGGAUAGCAUUAUCCAAUGUUCAAAUAUUAAUAGGAUUGAGAUGGGCAUGCGUGUCAUUAGCUAGUUGGCGGGGUAACGGCCCACCAAGGCGACGAUGACUAGGGGAUCUGAGAGGAUGACCCCCCACACUGGUACUGAGACACGGACCAGACUCCUACGGGAGGCAGCAGUAAGGAAUAUUGGUCAAUGGAGGCAACUCUGAACCAGCCAUGCCGCGUGCAGGAAGACUGCCCUAUGGGUUGUAAACUGCUUUUAUCCGGGAAUAAACCUCAAUACGAGUAUUGAGCUGAAUGUACCGGAAGAAUAAGGAUCGGCUAACUCCGUGCCAGCAGCCGCGGUAAUACGGAGGAUCCAAGCGUUAUCCGGAUUUAUUGGGUUUAAAGGGUGCGUAGGCGGCCUGUUAAGUCAGGGGUGAAAGACGGUAGCUCAACUAUCGCAGUGCCCUUGAUACUGAUGGGCUUGAAUGGACUAGAGGUAGGCGGAAUGAGACAAGUAGCGGUGAAAUGCAUAGAUAUGUCUCAGAACACCGAUUGCGAAGGCAGCUUACUAUGGUUUAAUUGACGCUGAGGCACGAAAGCGUGGGGAUCAAACAGGAUUAGAUACCCUGGUAGUCCACGCCCUAAACGAUGAACACUCGCUGUUGGCGAUACACAGUCAGCGGCUAAGCGAAAGCGUUAAGUGUUCCACCUGGGGAGUACGGUCGCAAGAUUGAAACUCAAAGGAAUUGACGGGGGCCCGCACAAGCGGAGGAGCAUGUGGUUUAAUUCGAUGAUACGCGAGGAACCUUACCCGGGCUUGAAAGUUAGUGAAUGAUUUAGAGAUAGAUCAGUCCGCAAGGACACGAAACUAGGUGCUGCAUGGCUGUCGUCAGCUCGUGCCGUGAGGUGUUGGGUUAAGUCCCGCAACGAGCGCAACCCCUAUGUUUAGUUGCCAGCAUGUAAUGGUGGGGACUCUAAACAGACUGCCUGUGC